rnacentral:rRNA from 1 species
CCUACGGGUGGCAGCAGUGGGGAAUAUUGGGCAAUGGAGGAAACUCUGACCCAGCAACGCCGCGUGAAUGAUGAAGGUCUUCGGAUUGUAAAGUUCUUUUCUAAGGGAAGAAGAAAGUGACGGUACCUUCGGAAUAAGCCUCGGCUAACUACGUGCCAGCAGCCGCGGUAAUACGUAGGCGGCGAGCGUUAUCCGGAAUGACUGGGCGUAAAGGGUGCGUAGGUGGUUUGGCAAGUUAGUAGCGUAACUCCAAGGAUCAACCUUGGAACUACUACUAAAACUGUUGGACUUGAGUGCAGGAGGGGCAACCGGAAUUCGUAGUGUAGCGGUGGAAUGCGUAGAUAUUAGGAGGAACACCAGUGGCGAAGGCGGGUUGCUAGACUGUAACUGACACUGAUGCACGAAAGCGUGGGGAGCAAACAGGAUUAGAUACCCUAGUAGUC